GACGAACGCUGGCGGCGUGCUUAACACAUGCAAGUCGAACGGUGAAGCUCCAGCUUGCUGGAGUGUAUCAGUGGCGAACGGGUGAGUAACAAGUGAGCAACCUGCCCCUGACUCUGGAAUAAGCGCUGGAAACGGCGUCUAAUACUGGAUACGAGAAGGGUCCGCAUGGGCACUUUCUGGAAAGUUUUUCGGUUGGGGAUGGGCUCGCGGCCUAUCAGCUUGUUGGUGAGGUAAUGGCUCACCAAGGCGACGACGGGUAGCCGGCCUGAGAGGGCGACCGGCCACACUGGGACUGAGAGACGGCCCAGACUCCUACGGGAGGCAGCAGUGGGGAAUAUUGCACAAUGGGCGAAAGCCUGAUGCAGCGACGCCGCGUGAGGGAUGACGGCCUUCGGGUUGUAAACCUCUUUCAGCAGGGAAGAAGCGAAAGUGACGGUAUCUGCAGAAGAAGCACCGGCUAACUACGUG
rnacentral:rRNA from 1 species